rnacentral:lncRNA from 1 species
CACGCUGUGCGUCAAGCUGGCUCCCCCCUUCCUGGCCUGGGAGGCGACUGUGCUGGGCUCUGGAGGGCCCCAGAGGAGGGGAGCAUAAUGGAGAGACCCGCUGGGCCCGGCAGGCCUAACUGCACCAACCCAGGCCGCUCCUGGAGCCCUCUGCGGUCACUCGGGAAACAGGACGCUCAGUGGGGACAGGACACCGACUGGACGGUGAAGCUGGAACCUCGAUGGACCUUGGAAAGCGAGCCCCGGGUUGGCAGAGGGCUGUGCUCACGCCCAGCUCCACUUGGCCCCUUGCCUGGCUCGCCUGGGAGGUGGCGGGAUGGACACGGGCAAGAGCCCUGGAUGUCCACCCCAGGGCCCUCCUUGGUCUCACAUGGAGAAGGGACGUCUAGUGUCACUGCACCUGGGAAAGGCCCUGCUAGAGCGAGGGAAGGAAACCGUGCAGACUUGUGGAGAGAUUCCGUGGGGGUUUGGACUCCGUGAUGGAGUCCUGCGGCAGCGUCUGGACUGCUCGGGUGCCUGCACGGCCUUUAAACUCCACGCCAAGCAGCCACUGGACUAGGACUUUGUGUCUGAGCUGGACACAAUCAUCAAUUCCAAUUUGAUCUGAAAAUAAAUAUUUAUUUGGACUGAGAAAAUAAUAGCAUACCAAUCACAAGCUUACAAAGCUGAUUGCUGCGCCCCUUCCUUCCUCUUCCUGUGAAGGUGACCACACCGUUUCCUGAGGCAGAAUAGAAAGAGGAUUCUGACUCUCUUCCACCUGCAGAUCAGAACUCAUCUCUCGCCACGGACCUCAGACCGUGGAACACUGGUGUCGGACAUAGGCCCUGGCUUGGAUCCUGGGGGUUUGCCCCAUAGGUAAGGACUGUCGUCACCUCUGCUCUGCGUGGUCGCCAUCUAGCAUGGCUGAAGCUAUGCAUUGCGUUCAGAUGUGGUGCGAGAUCAUGUGCAGGACUUCCCCUUUGACCGACAAGUGUGAGGCCUGCGUUUCGCUCACAGCCUUCCAUCAGGACUUGAAGAGCCACCCACGCUUGCCUCCAGCCUCAUGCAGAACUUAUAGCACUUGCUGUCUAACCGGGGAGGAUUGGCACCUCCCAUGUGGAGUGUGGGUCUGCCAAGACCCCUCCAUUCCCCUUCUGUUCUGGCUCUCGUGCUCCCUGCGGCCUGCCUUCAAGUUCGUGGCACUGACCUCCUUGGAGGAUGGCCCCUUAGCUGUGUCUGAGCUGGCUCCCUUUCACUGCAUUGAUGCUUUAUCUUGAACAAGGUUCAACCUAACAGGCUUCUGUAUUUAAUUUAAAAAUUAUGUAUUGUGUCCACCUGCGUUUCCAUUUCCCCACAGAUCACUCUUCUUCUGCACUCAAAGCGCAUUUUA